GGAACCCCCGGCCGCACCCCAAGCACCCGCUCGGGAACCCCCGGCCGCACCCCCGGCACCCGCUCGGGAACCCCCGGCCGCACCCCCGGCACCCGCUCGGGAACCCCCGGCCGCACCCCCGGCACCCGCUCGGGAACCCCCGGCCGCACCCCCGGCACCUGCUCAGAACCAGGAGAGCACGUCAGGGUUUUUACGACCGGACUUUCCUCGAUGGUUUGUCAGUCAUUCCAGUCUUUCAAAGUGCUGAAAUACUGCCCUGGGUGGCCCAACCAGCCUAAAAGUGACAUCGACUAUUCUCAUGCAAUUUUGGUUUUGUGGUGCCUGUUACGUGUGGAUUUCAAAGCACUUGUGCAGGAAAAUUAAACUGAUCAAAACUGUGCAGUCAGUCCAAAGGAGAGCAAAGACUGACUUGCACAAAUUCACACCUCAGGUUUCUGCCUGUUCCUGGACAGAUCCCACCAGAAUGUUCCAGUUCUGUGGUUCCAGCCCCUGCCUUCCAAGAGGAGGUGAAGCACGAGCAGAGGCUGCCCAAAAAGGCAGCAGGAAUUCCUUCCUUGAAGGGCCUCAGAACUUCACAAGGCACUGAACAACUUGAAUAACUUUGACCUCAGUCCUGCUCCAAAGAGGAGAGGAGACCAAAGGCUUCACAGGGCCUUUCCAACCUGAACUAUACCUAAGGUGAGGUUAAUUGUCAGUAUUGCAACAUUCUCACCUUGUGGCAAGUGAAGAUUUACACCUUACACAUUUUAGCCACUUGAGACAUAUUUCAGAUCUUGACAAUGUGGGUACUAAUACACAUUCAGUCAAAGGAUGAAAUAACAGAUUGUCUGGACUAGGCUGGUGUCCUCCUUACCUGGAGUGUGUAAGGGAUCCCAGUGUCCUCCUUGGGGACACUCCACCUCAGGUGCCCUUUUGGCUCCCACUCUGCCAAUAGUUCCACUGAUACUCAACCCUGCUACUGGCAACAGCUCCACUCAGAGACAUCUUUUAUAGAUGUUUCAAUAUUUUAAUAAUAAAUCCCCCAAAUUACAACAGCUGAAAAUAUUGGAAGGCAUAUUUAUUGCAUCAUUGGCAUCAUCUUUAUUUCAAGUCUCUCAGGUUUUGGUUACCUUGUCUGUUUUCAAGCAUUUAAGCUGCAUCAUAGUGAAAGCCUAGUGCUAAUACAAUAACUAAACCUUUUCCAUAAUAAAAUAACUAUUGAUUCAUCCUUCCUCUAUCAGAACAAGUAAAAUAUACAACUGAAAUUCUAAGUCUAUCACUGAAAAAGCAAGUUACCAAGGCUUUCAGUAAAGCUUCCUAUAAAAAAUGUGUAAUUAGCAGAAAUGCUGGUUCUGCUCACUUAUUUGAAAAAUACACCAGAAAACUGUCCAACUAUAAACAGAAGCCAAAUUCUACUAUUACCUGCUCAGUUCAACAGUGAGUACAGAAUUUCUGUAGCAGUGAAAGGUUUGCCUCCUCUGUGCAGCAGUGUUUAACCACACAUUCAGUGUUUUCUGUUACAGAGACAUUUUUCUGCACAUGCAGCAUAUUCAACAAGUGACAAAAUAUUCCACCUGCUUUAAACAUUUCACUGAUUAAGAGGAAACAGAUUCAGACACAACAACAUUAACAGCACUUUCAGACAUAAAGUAUUCAUCUUAGCAAUAUAUCCUUUUGUUGCAAAUGGUACAGAGCAAGCAACAAAAAGUUAACUCAAAAAUUGCAUAGAUCAAAUGCUCAAGAAGGUUAAAUUAAGUUCCAAAUUAAUGUUGUUUUUACCAGUAGAGAUUUUGUUGCCUAUGAUAGCAUUACUUAAAUAAUCGAGUUAUGGUAGAUAAAAAAUUACAAUGCAUAACAAUUCAGUCAGUUGUCACUGAAAAACAGGAGUCCAAGCCAACCUAAAUUCUUCGAGGGCUCGAGUUGUUCUGGCAAUACCUCACUGUUACAAAGGCUGUUCUUGAACAUUCUGCAACAAAGUACUCGCAGAUGAUGUUAUUGAUGUCCUUUGUGGGCUUUUUUCAUCUAUAAAAUGGAGAUAAAAGGGAAAAUAUCAAGAUAAAUGUUGCCCCAAACCACUGCACAAUUACAGACCAGCUUGCUGUAGACAAAGGCUUGUCACUUAAUUGCUCCCAUGGUCUGCAAAGCACAGGAGCAAUGCUCCCUGUGUGAGGGAUGCAUGGAUUUAUCACUGGGAAACUGCUGCAGAGGCUCUCAUAGACCAGCAUCACAACAGAGGCUGAGCAGAGAGAGGACCAAUUUCCUGAUAAACACAGGGAUUAAUUAAUUUAGAGUCCUUAAUGACACUUUCAUUCUCUUUGUACCCUGUCAGGUGGCAGUGGUGGGUUCCAAGGUUCUUUUCCCUACUUUAGUUCUCUCUCUCUCCAAGCACUAGCCCUGAUGGAAUUACACCAGGGGCCAUUCUCGUGGGCACUGCACUGACACAAGGCACAAUCCCAUGGCUGCACACUCUGAAAGCCUGUCUUUAUUUCUGCAAGUCACCUCAGGGGCUAAUGAUGAAACUGGGCUCCCAGCACUUGUCAUCAGUAGAAAAUUCAGUGAUGAGUACCUGCACCUGUAACCUGUAAUACUUCUUGGAAAGGUCAACGCUUGUCCGUCCUUUCUGGAAAGGGUAAGAACACAAAAUCAAAUUCCACUGGUUGCCCAUUUUUUGGACACCUUUCAAAAGGCAGUUGAUUUCUUCAGUUGUGAAAUCUUUUCGGACCCUUCUCUUGUUCAAAGGUCUCAUGCUCAUGGCCAGGGAACACAUUUCAUUGCCCUGCAAAUAAUUAUUUUGGUGUCAUUAAGAAUUAUGUAGAUGUACAUACUAUUUUGCAUGUGGAAGUAACAUAUUACUGGCAAUUCAACAUUUAAUAGUUGUAAAGAAAUGGUCCCACUGGCAAGGGAACAAUGCUUCUCCAAGGUUUCUUCACUGUCACUACUGACUAAAAUACAGUAUUUUUCUGUGAUCUUCAUUUCUGUUGUGCCUACAUAGUUUAUUCUUUUAGCAGGUUUAUUCCUUAAGGUUUCUGUUACUUCCAUACUGUGCAAAUCUUCAUCAAUACAGAAAAAUUCAGAUUUUCAGAUCCACCAUUCUGAAAAUAUGUCAGCUGAAAAAUGCUGAACUCAGUUCAGGGCUAAAUCAGUGUGACUGGAGUAGAAUCAACACAGGAGUAUUUUUUUAACAAGGUUCAUUUUGCUAUUGGGCUCCUGUUAAAGGUGACUAACAAAGAAACUACACAAUUCCUCCUGCUUUUAUUGGCCAUUUAUAAACAUGUCAGUGCAUAAUUAGGCUUUGCAUAACUAACCUCAUCUUUGUCAAGUGAAGGUGGGCAAUUUUCUUUUAAAUGCUGACAUUUCUGGCUGCACAUCUCUUUGACUCUCUGUCUUUUCUGGUUAGCAUCUUGGGAUUUUUGUAAAGCUACAAAAUUGUGAACAAGGAGGCCACUUAGUCACUUACAGCUAACUAAAAUCUACUGAAAAACUGGAUAUAAAACUGUAAAGGAGCAUUUAUUCUAAUGAAUCUGAAUAUGUAAA